rnacentral:tRNA from 1 species
GCUGGCGUGGCUCAACGGUAGAGCAGGUGAUUUGUAAUCACCUGGUUGGGGGUUCGAUUCCUCUCGCCAGCUCCA